rnacentral:lncRNA from 1 species
GGGGAUAUUUGCGCCUUUCAUCCUUCCGCUUUUGUGGCUUGUUUCAACCUAGUCCUAUCUUUUUUUUUAUUUUUUUUAUUUUGCCUUUUAAUUUAAUUUUACUUUCAUUUUGGUCUUUGGGCCAUUUUAAAAGAUGGGUACCUGAAGUGGUGUCGUUUCAGUCGACUCGAAACCUGACUCGAUUUCCAGGCAGGAUUUGCGAGUUUUUGUGAUUAGGGUAUAAUUGCUACCCUAGUCCUUUCACUUUUUAGGCAGUUUUC